rnacentral:rRNA from 1 species
GAUGAACGCUGACAGAAUGCUUAACACAUGCAAGUCGACUCGAGUCUUCGGACUUGGGUGGCGCACGGGUGAGUAACGCGUAAAGAACUUGCCUCUUAGACCGGGACAACAUCUGGAAACGGAUGCUAAUACCGGAUAUUAUGGUUUUUUCGCAUGGAGGAAUCAUGAAAGCUAGAUGCGCUAAGAGAGAGCUUUGCGUCCCAUUAGCUGGUUGGUGAGGUAACGGCCCACCAAGGCAAUGAUGGGUAGCCGGCCUGAGAGGGUGAACGGCCACAAGGGGACUGAGACACGGCCCUUACUCCUACGGGAGGCAGCAGUGGGGAAUAUUGGACAAUGGACCACAAGUCUGAUCCAGCAAUUCUGUGUGCACGAUGACGUUUUUCGGAAUGUAAAGUGCUUUCAGUCGGGAAGAAGUCAGUGACGGUACCGACAGAAGAAGCGACGGCUAAAUACGUGCCAGCAGCCGCGGUAAUACGUAUGUCGCAAGCGUUAUCCGGAUUUAUUGGGCGUAAAGCGCGUCUAGACGGCAAGGAAAGUCUGAUGUGAAAAUGCGGAGCUCAACUCCGUAUGGCGUUGGAAACUGCCUUACUAGAGUACUGGAGAGGUAGGCGGAACUACAAGUGUAGAGGUGAAAUUCGUAGAUAUUUGUAGGAAUGCCGAUGGGGAAGCCAGCCUACUGGACAGAUACUGACGCUAAAGCGCGAAAGCGUGGGUAGCAAACAGG